GACAGAGGGUGCAAACGUUGCUCGGAAUCACUGGGCGUAAAGGGCGUGUAGGCGGGAGAGCAAGUCGGGCGUGAAAUCCCUAGGCUCAACCUAGGAACUGCACUCGAAACUUCUUUUCUUGAGUGCCGGAGAGGAAAGCGGAAUACCUGGUGUAGAGGUGAAAUUCGUAGAUAUCAGGUGGAACACCAGUGGCGAAGGCGGCUUUCUGGACGGUAACUGACGCUGAGACGCGAAAGCGUGGGGAGCAAACAGG
rnacentral:rRNA from 1 species